UCCUCAGUAGCUCAAUCGGUAGAGCGGAUGGCUGUUAACCAUUAGGUUGGGGGUUCAAGUCCCUCCUGAGGAGCCA
rnacentral:tRNA from 1 species